GGCUUCCGAGAUUUUCGUUCAUGUAAAAUCGGUUUAUAAUGUGAAUACAAGUGUAAUACAGGCAGUCAUUUGGAUGAUAAGGUGUCUAAUCUUUCCCUAAUACCAAAAGGAUGCGAGCAAAUCUACGCUAUGGCCCAAAAAACAGUGAAGUGCAGUGUUUUAUAUUUAGCAACAAGUGGCUAUCUACUGAAUCCUGACCACCUGGGAUAGAAGACUACCUAAGGACUUCCAGUUUUCGACUAUCAUAACUUGCAGUGAGGCAAUCCUGAACGCUGGGAAGAUCUGUAUUCUGCAACACAACAGGACAAAGGUUUCGAUGGCCAAUUAUCUUCUUCAGAAGACGAAAGACAACCGGUAAUUGGCAAACAUAUUGAGCGAUAUAUCAUGGACCAUAAGGACUAAAGUUGUACGCCGUUCACAAGAUCACUGGGCCAAAUUAAUUGUGGAAGAUAGAGGAGCUAUGCGUACUGCAGCUAUGGAGAAACGUCUUCAGUGAGCAGUGUUGCAGUGGCGCGUGAGAUGGCUUUGCGGCCAUGGCAAAGGCAUUCGUGAUUCCGAUACAUAUUCAACAG